rnacentral:piRNA from 1 species
UGUUGUGUUCAGUAAAUGUUUGA